UAUAUUACAAAAAUAAGUUAGUCCCAACGUCCAGUUAUUACAUAAUUUAAACAAUCCAAACGCCUAAUUACUACGAGGCAAUCAUCUUAUCAUCAGGUACAUUAGAGCUAAAGGAAGGGAAGACAGGGUGGGGAUUCGAAGGGGAAAAAUAAUAGCAGCAGAUCUUCAUACUAAAGAACAUAUUUCACUCGAGCUUCAUACAUUAAUGAGCAUUGAAAUGUACAUGUAAUUCAGCGGAGAAUGGAAACCUAUGAGUAAAUGCAAUUAAUCAGCCAAGCAAAAUAAUAGUCAAUCGAACAGUACACCCAGGUUUUCAGCAGAGUUUUGAGAAAAUUAAAAUCCCAAAAGAAUAAGAACAUCACUGAUAG
rnacentral:lncRNA from 1 species